GGACACGUGGCCGAGUGGUCGAAGGCGCACGCCUGGAAAGUGUGUAAAGGGGCGACUCUUUCGUGGGUUCGAAUCCCACCGUGUCCUCCA
rnacentral:tRNA from 1 species